rnacentral:rRNA from 1 species
UACGAAGGGGGCUAGCGUUGUUCGGAAUUACUGGGCGUAAAGCGCACGUAGGCGGACUUUUAAGUCAGGGGGUGAAAUCCCGGGGCUCAACCUCGGAACUGCCUUUGAUACUGGAAGUCUUGAGUAUGGAAGAGGUAAGUGGAAUUGCGAGUGUAGAGGUGAAAUUCGUAGAUAUUCGCAGGAACACCAGUGGCGAAGGCGGCUUACUGGUCCAUUACUGGACGCUGAGGUGCGAAAGCGUGGGGAGCAAACAGG